UACUAGAAACAGGGGCUAUUAGCAUCUGAAUUUAGCAACGGAUAAUUCCGUUGCUAAAUUCAGUAACAGAUUUGCAACGGAUUAUAUAUAUAUUAUUUUUUUAAUAUCAGCAACGGAUUUUAACAACGGAAAAUCCAUUGCAAACUUUACAUUGAAUUUAGCAACGGAAAAUCCGUUGCUAAUUAAAAAAAUAAUUAUUUAAAUUUUAAUAUAAAAAUAAAUCGAACUGACUAUGCCUCUUUCAUGUGUUGUUUUCUUUGUUAUUUACUCCAUCUCUGUUGAGCAGCUCUACAAUUCAUUCAUGAGAGAGAGAGAGAGAGAGAGAGAGAGAGAGUGCAUCAAGCUGUUUUACCAUAACAGGAAGGAGGGUAGGUCUGUAGAAGAUGUAUGGAGAUGGAAAGGAGGCAUCUUAGCAUCUGGCUUUGCUGAUCAGAGAAGCUCUAGCAGAUGGGGUUUGAGAUUUUGGAGCUCGAAGAAAUAAUUUUGAAAAAUGUUGCAGAUAGAAGAAGAAUGCGACAAUUGUACUGCCAGCACAAAUACAUUGAUCGAUCGUUCUUGAGUCUUCAGUUUUUGACGAAUAAAUUAAUUCCCGAUGCGUUGAGUUA